rfam:Schizophyllum commune H4-8 unplaced genomic scaffold SCHCOscaffold_4, whole genome shotgun sequence.
UCGGAUAUGGUGUAACGGCUAACAUUGCCGCCUCUCACGCGGCAGCUCGGGGUUCGAUUCCCCGUAUCCGAA